rnacentral:rRNA from 1 species
GUGCCAGCAGCCGCGGUAAUACAGAGACUGCAAGCGUUAUUCGGAUUCACUGGGCGUAAAGGGUGCGCAGGCGGCCGUGUGUGUCAGGUGUGAAAGCCCGAGGCUCAACCUCGGAAUUGCGCCUGAAACUACACGGCUAGAGUAUUGGAGAGGGUAGCGGAAUUCACGGUGUAGCAGUGAAAUGCGUAGAUAUCGUGAGGAACACCAGAGGCGAAGGCGGCUACCUGGACAAUAACUGACGCUCAGGCACGAAAGCGUGGGGAGCAAAAGGGAUUAGAAACCCCAGUAGUCC